rnacentral:rRNA from 1 species
AUUGAACGCUAACGGCAUGCUUAACACAUGCAAGUCGAACGGCAGCACAGUAGUAGCAAUACUAUGGGUGGCGAGUGGCGGACGGGUGAGUAAUACAUAGGAAUCUGCCUUAUAGUGGGGGAUAACCCGGGGAAACUCGGGCUAAUACCGCCUAAUCUCUACGGAGCGAAGUGUGGGACCUUCGGGCCAUACGCACAAAGAUGAGCCGAUGUCGGAUUAGCUAGUUGGUGGGGUAAAGGCCUACCAAAGCAACGAUCCGUAGCUGGUCUGAGAGGACGAUCAGACACACUGGGACUGAGACACGGCCCAGACUCCUACGGGAGGAAGCAGUGGGGAAUUUUGGACAAUGGGCGCAAGCCUGAUCCAGCAAUGCCGCGUGUGUGAAGAAGGCCUGAGGGUUGUAAAGCACUUUAGGUGGGGAGGAAAGGCUGUUUGUGAAUAGCGAAUAGCUGUGACGUUACCCACAGAAUAAGCACCGGCUACUCUGUGCCAGCAGCCGCCGUAA